AUUCCCUCAACACUAAAGUAUACAACUAUUUGUAUAGUAGUUGCACUGUAUUAGACGUUGUAAGUAAUCCGGAGAUAAUUUAAAGUAUAUGGGAGGGCUGGGCACAGUGGUGGGUGCCUGUAAUCCCAGCAACUCAGGAGGCUGAGGAAGGAGGAUCACAAGCUCAAGGCCAGCCUCAGCAGCUUAGGGAGAUUCUGUUUUUAAAUAAAAUUAUUAAAUUAAAAAAGGGGGGGUCUGGGGUUGUAGCUCAGCUGUAAGAGCGCUCACUAGCAAGUUCGAGGCCCUGGAUUCGAUCCUCAGCACCACAUAAAAAUAAGUAAAUAAAAUAAAGGCAUUGUGUCCAACUAUACCUAAAACAUAAAUAUUAAAAAAAAAAAGGAUGGCAUGCAGCUCAGAGGUAGAGCACCCCUGGAUUCAAUCCCUAAUCCUGAGAAGAUAAAAAGUACUUAACAAAGGAAUUUAAGCGUCUAUCAGUUUUGGUAUCUGUGAGGAUCCUGGAACCAAUCCCUUGUGGAUACUGAGUGAUGGCUAUAAUUACUUAUUAAAUUUUAAUUUUUAAAUUACUUGGGGUGUACAAUGGGUGUUAGGAGCAUAUGUGCCCCUUAGGGUGGUGGGAGGAUGAUGGAGAUGGUUACUGUCGGCUUGAAGCCUGGCCUGUGGCCGUGCUCAGCAUAGGUGGGGACACUUAUGGCUGCUGGCAUGUCCCACCUGCACGAGACCUAGACACUUAGCAUUGGGACUCUGCAGAAAACACAGCUGCUCCACAGCGGCAUCAGAGCACAAAGGCUCAGGAAGGGAGGUGGCCCCAUGUGGGAGGGAGUGCUUCUGCUGGCCCAUGGGGUUUGGAAUCUCGAAUCUCUGGGUCAUCUUAAAGUGCUUCCACAAGCUAACCUCAGUGCUGACUGCUUUUGUUUGUUUGUUUGGUGCUGGGGAUGAAACCCAGGGCCAGGCACAUGCUAAGCACAUGCUCUACCCAGGAGCUCCACACCCAGCCCCAGAGCUGGGUUAUUGACUAAUUCAUGCCAUUUGAACAGGGUGACUUUUGCCUUAGAGUUCCACGCCCUUUGCUCUGGAGGGAAAGGAAGGGGAAGGACUAGAAGGAAGAUGCAGUAAACUGAGGCCCAGCUCAUAAAGCCACGUGGAUCUCAGAGCUUCCAGUGGCACAGCCAGAGAAGGAACUGAGGCUCAGGCCUCGGUUUUCUCGUCUGUAGAACGGACUGGUUGCAAACAUGGGCCACAGUAGCUACAGGCAGAGGCUGUGGGUGGCAGGCAGGAAGGUCAAGGGUUGGUGCUGGUGGCUGCUGAGAGAUUUAGCCGGGUAGGGAGAGGGCAGCUUCUAAGAAUCAGGGACAUGUGUUUUGUGCCAUGAGACUUUUGCAGGGACCCCCCUCCUUAGCAACGGGAGGUCACAGCCGAGGUAUCUGACCAGAUGCAAACAACUUCCCUGUCUGUUCUUGUUAAUGCUGAUAAAAGGGCUUCCUUCCGCAUUCUCAGGACCAGCUUGUCACCCCUGGCUGCUGGCCGGCUCAGCCACCAGGCCCACUCUUGUCACAGUAUCCUCCCACCACCUCCGCCCUGUCACCGCCCUGGGCUUGACCUCGCCCUAGACGGUCUGUUCAACAGAAUUCAGGGGACACUCGCCUCUCCUCACCUCUGCUAGUUCCCUCUCUUCUUUCCUGCGCUGGUGGGUUCGGGUUUCACUUCUCCUCCAGGGCCAGGGGGAGGAGAGAGGGAGGGCAGUACCACCAGCACCUCCUCUGGCAGCCUGCUGGCCUCAGGGACACAGGUGUCCAGACCUGGUUCUGUGGCCAGACAGCCUUCUCCACCUGCCCUGUCCAGGUUUCUUUUUCUGUACCCUGGGGAGGGGUUGGUCACCUUUACCUCCCCUGGGCUGGGAGGUGGACACCGGUGAUCAUGGCUAAUGUGCUUUGUGUGGGAGGUAUCUCAUUUAAAUGUCCUCAUAGCUCUAGUCCACACUCAGCAGAACCUGCUCAGAGAGAGGCUGUGGCUGGCCCAGGGUCUCCAGGGUGCAGGUGGAGGCAGGACUGGAACCCUGGCAUUCUGCCCCCAGAACAUGAGCUCUUAACCACAUUCUCACACCAUCUUCCUAAGAAAGCAACAUCUGUGCAGCACGCUGGGAACUCCCAGCAGCAGAAGCUGCAGGUUUCUGGAAAGGAAAGUUCCUCCUGUAUCCCUAUCCCUAAUCUAUUUGGAGUGACAGGGAGAGACUCCCUGCCCUUGCCAGCCUGUCUCACUGAGGAAGGCCAGGCACCCAGUCUAUACUUCUCCUGGCCCCAUCCCAUCACACUGGUGAGGGUCAAAGCGGCUCAGAACUGUUAAGGAACAUCAGCAGGUUCACACAGCUGGUCCAUGGCAAUGACAACAAGGUUAGAAUGCAUGCUGAUUUCUUUAUUCAGUUAUUGAGCACCUGCUGUAUACCAGCCUGCAUGUCAAGUGCUGGGUGUGCAGUGGGGUCCAUGGCAGGGCUUCUGUCCUCUCAGGGAUUCUGACUAAAGGGUAGUGGUGGUAGUGGUGACAGAUCUUUAGAGCUGGGCUGAUCCCACUCCACAGGGCAGUGUCCCUUGAGCUAUUGACAAUGAUGUCACCAAUCCAACACUGAGCAGCUGACCCACCAUUAAUGGUCACAAAGACCUCGCCUCUGGAGGCUAGACCCUGUGGCCACAGGUGCUUUGGAGAAAAUUCCAUGGUUUUCCAUGACCCUGCUGUCUUGCUUUCUCCUGAAAACACCCAGCAGCUGCUGCCAGGCCUGUGGGCAAGAAGAGAGAGCACCGUGGGAGGGAAGGUUCUGACAGGGGUCUGGGUGGGGCCCUGAGUCACCGCCACCAGUCAGGAGUCUUUGUCUGAACACUUCCCCUCCAGGGGGGGCAGGAACACCCAUUAGGAAACCAAGGUGAAAAAGAGGGUGAGGCCCAGUCUGGGAAUUGGGACUGGACAUCUCACCCUGGGCUCUCUCUCCCUGCUCAUUCAGGCCGAGUGCCUGGAGCUGCCUGGAGCUGCUAGAGUCUCAUCUCAAGAAGAACCCCCGUCUCUCAGUUCCAGCCCCUUCCCCUGCCCCUCUCGUCUGCUGGGCGGCACAUGCCCUAUGACUCCACUGACUCUGGGGUUUAGUGUCAAAAUAAAAAGUGAAAAAGGGCUGGGGAUGGAGUUCAGUGGGUUCAAUUCCCAGUAUCAAAAGAUAAUACUAAAAAGAAAAAGACACACUAUUAAUUCUGUUGACCUAUCUAUCCACCAUGAUGGACGGUCCACGCACAGACCAGUUUCUCUCGUUGUAGGCCUGUCUGCUGAAAAGCAGCAGGAUGCUGUCCACCUUCCCAGUGAAGACCCAGUGGCUCAUCACACCUGACCUUGAGUCUCCGGGCAUGAGACUUCUGUGCCUCUUUCCACACAGAAGUUCUCACCAAAAGUGCAGAGAAGGCCCAGGGCUGCCAUGUCUGGAUUCCUGCAAGCCAAGACCCACAGGGAUACUGAAAACAUUCCUCUACCACAAAAAAUGUUUCAUCAUGGCUGGUAAGAAUACAGGUAAGGAGCCAGGCGCCAUGACACUUUUCUAUAAUCCCAGCUACUCAGGAAGAGGCAGGAGAAUCAGAAAGUUCAAGGCCAGCCUUGGCAACUGAUGAAACCCUGUCUCAAAAUGAAAAGAAAUAAAAAGGGCUGGCAAUGCAUCUCAGUGGUAGAGCACCCCUGGGUUCAAUCAGUACUAGGGUGGGGAGGAAUACAUAACUGGCCACAGGAGAAGGAAAGAAGGAGGAGGAGAAAAGAAAAGGGGGGUGGGUAAGUAGAAAUAGAGCAAGAGAGAGUCUUGCAAGUCUGGGGACAAACAGGGACAGAAACAGGGCUCUCCCAAAAGCAAACACAAUAGGCAUAGCAAGAGACACAGGGAGACAAAGGUGGGAGAGACAGAAAGAGGGCAAGAGUGAGUACCACAGAGACCAGAGAGAGCAAAAAGGUGCAGGGAGCCGGGGUGUAGCUCAGCAGAAAAGCACCUGCCUGGCAUGCUUGAGGCCCUGGGUCCCACCCCCAGCACCACACAAGAGUAUAAGACGACAUCCUGUCUGUGUGUUUUGGCUAAGACAAAGUGCAAAGGUAGAGCAAAGGGAGAGCACCA
rnacentral:lncRNA from 1 species